GAGUUUGAUCAUGGCUCAGGAUGAACGCUAGCGGCAGGCCUAACACAUGCAAGUCGAGGGGUAACAGAGAGAAGCUUGCUUUUCUGCUGACGACCGGCGCACGGGUGCGUAACGCGUAUACAAUCUGCCUUAUACAGAGGGAUAGCCUUUAGAAAUGAAGAUUAAUACCUUAUAGUCUAUUUUUAUAGCAUUAUAUAAAUAGUAAAGCUUCGGUGGUAUAAGAUGAGUAUGCGUCCUAUUAGUUAGUUGGUAAGGUAACGGCUUACCAAGACAACGAUAGGUAGGGGCCCUGAGAGGGGGAUCCCCCACACUGGUACUGAGACACGGACCAGACUCCUACGGGAGGCAGCAGUGAGGAAUAUUGGACGAUGGAGGCAACUCUGAUCCAGCCAUGCCGCGUGCAGGAAGACGGCCCUAUGGGUUGUAAACUGCUUUUAUAUAGGAAGAAACCUUUUCACGUGUGAGAAGCUGACGGUACUAUAAGAAUAAGGACCGGCUAACUCCGUGCCAGCAGCCGCGGUAAUACGGAGGGUCCGAGCGUUAUCCGGAAUCAUUGGGUUUAAAGGGUCCGUAGGCGGGAAUCUAAGUCAGUGGUGAAAUCUUGCAGCUCAACUGUAAAAUUGCCAUUGAUACUGGAUUUCUUGAAUUAGUGUGAAGUGGUUAGAAUGUGUAGUGUAGCGGUGAAAUGCAUAGAUAUUACACAGAAUACCAAUUGCGAAGGCAGAUCACUAACACUAUAUUGACGCUGAGGGACGAAAGCGUGGGGAGCGAACAGGAUUAGAUACCCUGGUAGUCCACGCCGUAAACGAUGGAUACUAGCUGUUCGAUCUUCGGAUUGAGUGGCUAAGCGAAAGUGA
rnacentral:rRNA from 1 species